UACGUAGGGUGCGAGCGUUGCCCGGAUUUAUUGGGCGUAAAGAGCGUGUAGGCGGUCCGGUAAGUCAGCUGUGAAAGUCAAGGGCUCAACCCUUGAAUGCCGGUUGAUACUGUCGGGCUAGAGUCCGGAAGAGGCGAGUGGAAUUCCCGGUGUAGCGGUGAAAUGCGCAGAUAUCGGGAGGAACACCAAUGGCGAAGGCAGCUCGCUGGGACGGUACUGACGCUGAGACGCGAAAGCGUGGGGAGCA
rnacentral:rRNA from 1 species